GUUGCCAAUGACAUCGCGUCCGUCCUCGGGGGCAAAGAUCCAGUGGUCGGCCGCCGUGACGGCGCACUUUACGCCGUGCGUGAUGCCACGUUGGGCCAGCAGGCGCUUGACCUCCUUGCCUAGGAGGCAUACGCCGACAUCGGCAAUGUCCAUCACGCGGUGGGCCUGUGUCGCGUCGGUCUUGUUACCGGCGCCCAUGCACGAGAUCAACGGGAUGCCGUUCUCCACGGCGUGCCCGAUGAGCGCCACCAAGCGGCCCAUGGAGCAAUCGGCGUUGGUCGCGCUCUCGAUCGGUUCGGCAAAUGUCGCCACAUGUUGUUGGUCCCGUUGCUGCUCGCCUCUGCGCAGGCGCGCCUCGUCGUCAAGCUGGGCGAGGACAUCGUCAAUGGCAGGUGCCGUAGGACCGCCGGCGCCAUUGACCAAGAGAGAUGUUUGCACGGCGCGCGGUCUCUUUUGGGUGUCGAGGUCCAGAUCGACGCGCGCCAGAUGACUGAAAUUGCUCCCAGCCUUGAUGAUGGGCACGUGACCGACCCACUCGCACAUGGCAUGGCGGUCAUGGCCGCCCAACACGACGUCGAUAUCGGGGACGGCGCUGACCAACUGGCGGUCCUCGGCAACCGAGAGAUGGGUGAUCGCCACGAUGGCAUGAACGCCCUUUUGCGCGAGCGCGCCGCCACACCCUGGCGCGCCCGUUCGACCACGGGAGCAAAUGCCACAUCGGGUCCUGAAGCCGACAACUUGGGCGUGUCGGGCGUACACAGACCUAUAAUGCCCACGCGGUGACCCUCGGCAGUGGUAAACACGGCCUCGCUGGUGCCACAGCCAAAUGGCUCGCCGCCUUGGAGAACAUUGGUGCACACCCAGUCGAAAUGGCACUCGCGCAUGCGCUGCCGAAACACGUCGGCGCCGCGCUCGUACUCGUGGUUGCCUGGCACGGCAUAGUCGACGCCCAACUUGUUCAGGAGCGCGGGCAUGUGCCUGCACGACUCGGCCGGCGUCCAAUGCGACAGGUCGGGUUCGGCCGAGAGCACGUCACCGCAUGCCACCAACAGACUCUGACCGCUCACGUGUCGCUCCCGGUCGAUGAGCGCCGCCAGGCCUGUGAUACCACCGUAAGGACCCCACGGGCGCAAGUUGUGGGCGUCGCCAAAAGCGACGAGUGUCAGUCGCUCACUGGGCCGGGCCAUCGAUCAGGGUUUUGGCUCCUUUUUAUUUUUGAAAAAAAAACAACAGAGCAGACUAGCACAUGAGGACAUCCCAGUCGCGCAAUAAAUGUUUGGG
rnacentral:lncRNA from 1 species